rnacentral:rRNA from 1 species
GAACUGAAGAGUUUGAUCAUGGCUCAGAUUGAACGCUGGCGGCAGGCCUAACACAUGCAAGUCGAGCGGCAGCACGGGUACUUGUACCUGGUGGCGAGCGGCGGACGGGUGAGUAAUGCCUAGGAAUCUGCCUGGUAGUGGGGGAUAACGCUCGGAAACGGACGCUAAUACCGCAUACGUCCUACGGGAGAAAGCAGGGGACCUUCGGGCCUUGCGCUAUCAGAUGAGCCUAGGUCGGAUUAGCUAGUUGGUGAGGUAAUGGCUCACCAAGGCGACGAUCCGUAACUGGUCUGAGAGGAUGAUCAGUCACACUGGAACUGAGACACGGUCCAGACUCCUACGGGAGGCAGCAGUGGGGAAUAUUGGACAAUGGGCGAAAGCCUGAUCCAGCCAUGCCGCGUGUGUGAAGAAGGUCUUCGGAUUGUAAAGCACUUUAAGUUGGGAGGAAGGGCAGUUACCUAAUACGUAUCUGUUUUGACGUUACCGACAGAAUAAGCACCGGCUAACUCUGUGCCAGCAGCCGCGGUAAUACAGAGGGUGCAAGCGUUAAUCGGAAUUACUGGGCGUAAAGCGCGCGUAGGUGGUUUGUUAAGUUGAAUGUGAAAUCCCCGGGCUCAACCUGGGAACUGCAUCCAAAACUGGCAAGCUAGAGUAUGGUAGAGGGUGGUGGAAUUUCCUGUGUAGCGGUGAAAUGCGUAGAUAUAGGAAGGAACACCAGUGGCGAAGGCGACCACCUGGACUGAUACUGACACUGAGGUGCGAAAGCGUGGGGAGCAAACAGGAUUAGAUACCCUGGUAGUCCACGCCGUAAACGAUGUCAACUAGCCGUUGGGAGCCUUGAGCUCUUAGUGGCGCAGCUAACGCAUUAAGUUGACCGCCUGGGGAGUACGGCCGCAAGGUUAAAACUCAAAUGAAUUGACGGGGGCCCGCACAAGCGGUGGAGCAUGAGGUUUAAUUCGAAGCAACGCGAAGAACCUUACCAGGCCUUGACAUCCAAUGAAUCCUUUAGAGAUAGAGGAGUGCCUUCGGGAGCAUUGAGACAGGUGCUGCAUGGCUGUCGUCAGCUCGUGGCGUGAGAUGUUGGGUUAAGUCCCGUAACGAGCGCAACCCUUGUCCUUAGUUACCAGCACGUAAUGGUGGGCACUCUAAGGAGACUGCCGGUGACAAACCGGAGGAAGGUGGGGAUGACGUCAAGUCAUCAUGGCCCUUACGGCCUGGGCUACACACGUGCUACAAUGGUCGGUACAGAGGGUUGCCAAGCCGCGAGGUGGAGCUAAUCUCACAAAACCGAUCGUAGUCCGGAUCGCAGUCUGCAACUCGACUGCGUGAAGUCGGAAUCGCUAGUAAUCGCGAAUCAGAAUGUCGCGGUGAAUACGUUCCCGGGCCUUGUACACACCGCCCGUCACACCAUGGGAGUGGGUUGCACCAGAAGUAGCUAGUCUAACCUUCGGGGGGACGGUUACCACGGUGUGAUUCAUGACUGGGGUGAAGUCGUAACAAGGUAUCCGUAGGGGAACAUUCGGCUGGAUCACCUCCUUA